rnacentral:rRNA from 1 species
UGGGGAAUUUUGGACAAUGGGGGAAACCCUGAUCCAGCCAUCCCGCGUGUGCGAUGAAGGCCUUCGGGUUGUAAAGCACUUUUGGCAGGAAAGAAACGUCAUGGGUUAAUACCCCGUGAAACUGACGGUACCUGCAGAAUAAGCACCGGCUAACUACGUGCCAGCAGCCGCGGUAAUACGUAGGGUGCAAGCGUUAAUCGGAAUUACUGGGCGUAAAGCGUGCGCAGGCGGUUCGGAAAGAAAGAUGUGAAAUCCCAGAGCUCAACUUUGGAACUGCAUUUUUAACUACCGGGCUAGAGUGUGUCCGAGGGAGGUGGAAUUCCGCGUGUAGCAGUGAAAUGCGUAGAUAUGCGGAGGAACACCGAUGGCGAAGGCAGCCUCCUGGGAUAACACUGACGCUCAUGCACGAAAGCGUGGGGAGCAAACAGG